rnacentral:tRNA from 1 species
GCCGAGGUGGUGAAAUUGGUAGACACGCCAGCUUCAGGUGCUGGUGGGCGCAAGCUCGUGAAGGUUCAAGUCCUUUUCUCGGCACCA